rnacentral:rRNA from 1 species
UACGGAGGGUGCGAGCGUUGUCCGGAAUCAUUGGGCGUAAAGGGCGCGUAGGUGGCCACUUCAAGCGUGCGGUGAAAGUCGGGGGGCUCAACCCCUGAUCGGCCGUGCGAACUGGGGGGCUGGAGCACUGUAGAGGCAGGCGGAAUUCCGGGUGUAGCGGUGGAAUGCGUAGAGAUCCGGAAGAACACCAAAGGCGAAGGCAGUGUCCUGGGGAGUACCUGACGCUCAGGUGCGAAAGCCAGGGGAGCGAACGGGG